UCAGAAUCGGCUUUUAGCACCGGUGGACGCAUCCUUGAUGACUUCCGAAGCUCUCUUACUCCAUUCAUGGUGCAGGCACUACUUUGUACUCAAGAUUGGUUGCGAAGAGAAAUUCCAAUUAACGAUGAAGAGGAUGCUGAGCUACUGGCCAACCUUGAACAAGAUGUACUUCAAGAAUUGUCUGAUCUAAACAUUGCUAAGUCUGGUACAAGUGCAAGUGUUCGCAUCACCAUUGAUGACACCGAAUCAUAAGUCUUGGGAAUACGAGAAGAACAUCAAAGGAAGUGUGCUGUUGUCAAGGAAUCCUCUCAGCUUCUUUUCUUGUGUUCUAUCUUCUAUGAUUUCCUCAGCUUGGACCUCAAGGAGUUGUGUUGCUUGAAAACUUGUUAAGCCCUUAAAUUAUUAGCUAUGGUUGUCUCAGUUUGGACCUAUUCAGCUUGAACCGUGAUAACUAUUCAGCUUGAACCAUGUUUGUUUUGUGUUUGUGACUCAGCCUGAUUUGUGACUCAAGUUA